AACACAUGUCAUAAAAAUCUCCUCCUCUCGUUGUUAACGGCGUUGUUCCCCUGAAGCUUAUAGAAGCAUCUCGGUUGCUUCCUCAACCAUCCAACCAAUCGGAAACCUUUCUCAGGUUCUAAGGUUGUUGGUGAUUUGUCUUUUAAUUAGAGACUCAUCAUACUUUGCAGUAAUCAGGUAAUCAUCUCAAUUCUUUGCUUUCUGUAUUCUCGUUUGGAAGAUUAUUGUUUAUUAGACUUCCUCUGAUAAUAGAGUAUUGACUUUGUGCUAUUUUGUAAACAAAUAUAAUGAGGGUUUUGGGUUUUCCUUAGAUUACAGCAACACAACUCAUAACUUUUGUAGUCAUCAUAUUGUUAAUUUUUUGCUUCAAUUUGGGUUUUCACAUGAUCAAAUAUCAUUCCAUCUCAGUAAGGGAGACAAUCUCUUAAGAUUACUUUUAAGGAAUUACUAAGGAAUUGUAUGUUGAUCAAUAUUUUGUCAUUGUCUUAAGAACUCGUGCAUUGAUAGCUAUUAUUGUUUACAGAACUUGGCCUUCACUUUGCAAUUUAGGCUGCACCUCUUUAUUUAGGUCACAUUUUAGAUCAGUUAAAUGACUAUAAUCAUCAAAAGCUAAAUCUUUUGAUGUAAUCUGAAACUGGUUAUCAAAAUUUGGUUUUUAAUGAAGGGUUGAUGAUAACAGCCCAUCUUUUGCGUCGUACAUGAAAAUAAGGCUCUGAUUCAAAAUGUGAAAAAUGUGCUUUCAAUGCAAUGUUUGUUUUAGAAAUCAAAAUGGGGAAGGAGAGGCGAAUGUAGUUAAGGAGGUUGUGGAAAUAUAUACGUUGGGAUCUUCAAAGAAUAAGAUUACUACUUUGAUAUAUAUGAUGAAACUAUCAUUAAGUUUAGAUCACCAAUUUGGGUAUGAAUUGACUUUUGGUUAUCAAAAUUGAAUUGGAUGCUCAUUUUGUCUGUUGUAAUCCGUAACUGAUAAAAUUGAAAUUGGAUUUUAUGCUUUUUUGGUCCAAUGGUUUAUCAAGAUUUGGAUAUAAAACCAUUGAAACCUUAUAUUUGCACAGAGGUGAUUUGGGUAGUUGGUGUACUAAAACCUUUUAAUAAAACUUAAUAUUAAGAUUGAGAGGUCGUUUGUACACAAGAUGGUCUGAACGAUACUAAAUUAUAUGACCAUAAUUUAAAGAUGUGGACUGGAUACAAAACAUUUCUUUGCUAUCGUUGCUCAUUUGGUUUGUUUUUUUUUUUUCAAGUCUAUUUUGUUUAAGUUGGUAGUAUAGUAGAUUGUUAUGACUGUGCCAGUUGGAGCUUGAGCGGGACAACAGUUACCUGAGAUUGAUGAAUGUGAUUUAGUUUAUUGUAGCUACGUGUAUAUAGAGGCAUGGAGCCUUGUGUUUUUUAUAAACUGAAGUCGUUUGUUUGUUUUGUCGUUGAUUUGAUUGGUGUUUUGAUUAUCUGUUUCUAGAUUUUGUGCAUUUCUUUUGUUUUUGGUCCAAGAGACCCUUGCAGUUGUUUGUUCCCUUGAUGUUGUUCAUUUUGCAGUUGCAGUACUAAGCUUCAGUUUUGUAAUUUAUUUUGGAAAGAUUCCUGAAAAAAAAAGUAGAAAGGGAGCAGGUUUUGGUCUAAACGUUGAGCCUCUAUCGUUAUCUAUGUGUAACUAACACUAUCACAAUUACUGUAGUUAAACUAUAGAAUAACUACUGUCUUAAACUUUGUUGUUAAUAUCCUUCAUUUGUACAUUUAUCCUUCUAAUUUAAAUUGUCAUUUUGGUUUCA